UAAUCUUACAGUACAGUACCUUGAAAAGUACAGUAGUACCAGCACAACAGCUGACGCUUCUCAGCAGUACCAGCUACAUCACCGCUGCUUUUACGCUUGCUUCUGGACGUCCUGGGCUUGAAAUAAAGAUACUGUAUUACUGUGCUCUAUACAGUAUGGUACAGUAAAGUACACAAAAGCACAACCACUAGUAGAGGAUGCACACAUGUGACACUGUAUGCCAGAUGCGUGAACUGAUGUGAUUGGACAUGUGAAAGCACCUUUGCAUCUCUGAAAAUUUGCAACUUGAAGAAUGAUUUUCUCUGCCCAACAUCAUGCUGUUGUAGCCCUUGCAUCUCAGAGUCAUUAAUCUCAAAUCUCUUUUUUUGUUGGCGCUCUUCAAAAUGAAUGUGUCCAGCAUACCAGCACCUCCUGUGAUGGAAAGCUGCCCAGCGAAGUCCUUCCACAGGGAGAAAUGAAAUCCAUCUUUUCUGCUUCUCGUCACUGGUCCUGGUUCUGUCCUUUCUUGUCACCGGGACAACCUGAAGCAUCUCCAGUGUUUAACAGUCACUAGUCAGUGACCCCAACACCCUUUUGGGGACUGCAUUGCCAAAGGAGAUGAAGCAACGUCCAACUGGACAACGGCAUACAGCCUGCCUGUUCCCUAAUGCAGACUGUUGAUGGAAUACAGACAUGGGGUGAAUGGAUCCAUUUUGCAGACCACCACUCUGGAUGGGUCCUCCUGCUUCUCUUAUCUGAACCUGGAGCUCCCUUCUCCUUUAUUUUAACAAAGUGAACACUUUUGGUUGUUGACAUCAAACUCUGAGUUAUAAGAACGCCUGUCAAAGGCCUGUUGGAAAGUUCCUUGAAACCAGGUGGAUCGGACUGGUCCUUUAGUCCAGCUGUAGAUGCCCAUUGUGGGCAGACUGAGGAAGCGACCCUCUUACCAGGAUGUGCUUGAACAAGGCCCAGGACAUUAAAAAAAAAAAAAAAAAAUCUUGCAAUUACACUUUUCUACCACUAGAUGAUAUGCACGUAUAAGCAAGAUGAAAACCCUCCUACCUUUCCUUUCUGCAUCAGUGGCCACAGUGAUGAUAGGGGCCAUCAAAGUUUACCACGUGCCUAUGGGCCAAAUCCAGUUUACCACCUCUCUUUAUAAAUAAAGUUUUAUUAGAACACAGCCAUGCUCAUUUGUCUGGGACUGAUUUUGCUCCACAAUGACAGAGAUAAAGAAAGUGAUUAAGGACACAGUGAAUCCCGGCACAUACGUUAAAUGACUGUAGCAGACAUACAUGACAAAGGCUAGUUUAGGUAACUAACUGCCUCAGAGUCAUACCUCAUGAGGCGGAGAGGGGAGAAUCAGGAACUGGGUGAACCAACUUAAUCCUUUGUCCUGCAUGAAGAGAUGGGACCAUAUUGCCUAGAUUCCAAGGGUUUUCCACAUGGACAUGCCCCAAGCUCCUUCUCUCCCCUUCCUUUGCUCCAAGAAGACCUCUUCUAUUUUUUUUUUUUUUAAUGUGGUAUGCGGGCCUCCCUCUGUUGCGGCCUCUCCCGUUGCGGAGCACAGGCUCCGGACGCGCAGGCUCAUUGGCCAUGGCUCACGGGCCCAGCCGCUCCGCGGCACGUGGGAUCUUCCCAGACCGGGGCGCGAACCCGGUUCCCCUGCAUCGGCAGGCGGACGCGCAACCACUGCGCCACCAGGGAAGCCCGGACCUCUUCUAUUAUUCGUCCACAUUUUGAUGUCCUCUUUUCUUAGGAUAGAUACCCCAUCAUCCCUACAGAAAAGGAAGAUGCACUGGACUGUUCCUUCCACUCAAUCUUUGUUGACUCUAAGAAAGGUUUUCAUUACAGAAUGAAUGUUCCAAGUCCAGCUCUCUUUUCUUUAAUAUACAGGUACGUAGGUUCAAAUGUAUGUAUGUAUUUACAUAUUUACAGUUGAGUUUUGGUCUGGACAGGGUAUGUGGGAGAGUGUUAAGCUGAAAAUUGAUAAAGAUAAUCUGGGCUUUUGGAAUGUAGGAAAAGGGAAAAGGCUGAGUGAUCAGACACGGUCUUGUGACAGGUAAGUGAGUUAGGUUCUGAGGGAAUUUGGAUAUGUAAAGGAAGGGGCAUUUUAGAUUAUGUGGUGGAGAGGCAGGGGUAUGGGCUUGAAUGUGGGCACUGUGGGAUAAGAUAAUUCUGGUAAGGCCUGAAUUUAGGAGCUCAGAACUAUCAGGUUAAAGUUUGAACUGGAUCUCACAGUCCUGGAAAGAACUUUUUUUUUUUGCGUUACGCGGGCCUCUCACUGUUGUGUCCCCUCCCGCUGCAGAGCAUGGGCUCCGGACGCGCAGGCCCAGCGGCCACGGCUCACGGGCCCAGCCGCUCCGCGGCAUGCGGGAUCCUCCCAGACCGGGGCACGAACCCGCGUCCCCUGCAUCGGCAGGCGGAUUCUCAACCACUGCGCCACCAGGGAAGCCCAGAACCAGGACUUUUGACUAGAGAAUUAUCACUGACUAUGAACAUUUCAAGGGUCUGAUCCAGAGCUGCCUCGGAAGGGUGAUUUCCCCUUGGAGCUUGUCUCUCUGGGGACAGAAGGACGGACACAGAUGAUGAAGUGUAUAGUCUGCUGGAGAAAGGCCAUCUCACCAUGAGUCUUUGGCGGGAAAGAGUUGUAAGAAUGUCGUCUUUCAUCAGCUGGUGUCACUCUUUGGAACCAGUCACAAGUAGCUGGGUGUGGUAGGGUGAAGUUGUCUGAAGUCUGAACGAAGAAAAAUAUAUUGACUACUGCCGGUUUUAAAAAAGGACAUCACAGGCCUCAGUUUGUCCACCUUGCUUAAGAAAACUCCUUACCAGAGCAGACAAUCAACUGGUGUCAGCCCAUCAGUUAUCACUAUUCUCGGCUCAGCCGCCAAGAGAUGAAUGAGUUAGAUUCAACUGUCAUUGAAGCCCUUCGAUAGACAUCACCUCACUUAGAGGUCACAACAACCCUUUGAGUGAAUCAUCUUCAUGGGUCAUCUCUGUCUGCUCCCCCUGGAGGGGCCACUGAAAUGGAGUCGGGGGACAGGACAGGAGAAGAUCCAGUGUGACAGGCCAUGGCUAGUUGGAGUACAACACCUGGGGAAUGUCUGGAAACAUUUCAGAUGUGCUGACAGCGAGCUUUCCUCUCUGUGCUGCCCAGCUUCAGCUCGGUUUCUGCUAAGAUCUCUGGAGGUUCACAGGGAGUGAAGGCCUCAUUGCCCUGGUCUGUGUUGUUUGUCCUUGGCUUUAAUUGCCACUUGUGUCCUGAGCUAUAUGGUAAUAGCACUAACAGCUAACAUUUGUUGACUGCUUACUAUGUGCCACUGUGCGAAGAGAUUUACGCACAUUACCUCAUUGAUCUUGUUACAACCCUGUGAAGUUUUGCUAUCCUCGUUUCACAAAUGGGAAAACUGAGGUGUGGAAAGCUGUGACUUACCCAUUGGGGUAUGUCUAAUCAGUGGCCCAGCUGGGAUUUGAAUCCAAGUCUGUUCUCCACCAAAUCACUCAUUCUUUGUCUGCCGUUCUGUACUGCCAGUAGGAUUAGGGUUGAGAUUCCUGAUAGUGAUCUGGAAGGAUUUCCAGCACUAAAAGUGACUCAAAUGGGAAGACUCAUCAGUUGCACAGACCAAAAGGUUGGGCUCCCGUCAGGUGGGGAUAAAUGAGAGGAAGCCGUCAGCUUUACGGAAGUGCAAAUGUGCCAGUGCACUUACAAAUGAACGUCUCCAGUCAAAUCUGAGUCCUUUGUUUCGAGAUAAUCUGGCUCUCAUUGUAACCCCCAGCUUCAGGUAGCAAAUAUAUGCUGAAUACUUUUCUGGAUGAGACCACUGGAGGCUGUAGUUGUUGUUUAAGGCACCUGAGUUCCAUUACAGACUAUACAUGGUUUAAUCUUACAUUUAAGUGUUUGAAUGUGUGUGAGAGAGAUGUCAAGGGGUCCAGGAGUUUUCUUCAUUAUCUGCCAGAAGGCUUCAGCCUAGUGGAGUCAGAUAGACAUGGGUUCGAAUCCCCACUCUGGUAUAUAUAAGCCACGAGAACUUUGGCAAAUUAUCGUUCUUCCAGUCUUAAUUUCUUCGUCUUUAAAGAGGAGAUAAUAGUACCUGCUUCAAGGUGGUGCUGUGAGGAUUAAACCCUAUACACACGCAGUGCUUGGAGCACAGUAAGUGCUCGAAAAUUGGUAACAGGUAUUGUUCUCGGUGACCCUGCUUUGUCUAAGAAGAGGCACUGAUGGAUUGUUGGUGGCAUUAAGUCCAUGUCCUCUGCUGUGUUGGUGAUGUCCUAUUUGAAAAUGAAAAGGAAUUUUUUUCUGAAUCUCCUCAGCAUCUUGCUGCCACAGAAAAAGAAAUCUGUUUCCACAAAGAGAAGCAAGAACUGGAGACACUGGAAGUUUAUGGACUGGAGAAGGCGGCUCCGAGAAGAAGAGCAUUCUGGCGAUCAGCGACGCUCUCCUGAGCCGCCCAGAUGUGGGCCAGAUGCUGCAAAUCUGUAGAGACACGUCAGGCUCAGUGACUUGUGCCAUGACUUUCAUCCACGUGGGCAUGGAGGAUAUUGACUGAUCUCACUCCGAUUAUUAAGAGUGACUUCAGGGCUCUGGAAACAUGGGUGUAGGAGGCUGGGACUCGAGGGGUAGUCUUGACAAUCCUCCCAGUUGAUCAGAAGGGUUUCUGGAGCUGACAGCCCUGCUCUGGGGAUACAUGUCUACUUCACAUGCCUCGCCCCACACCACCCAUAGAAGAGGGCUCAGCAGGAAACACUGAGGAUACUUCAAUGGGAAGUGAUUUGCAAUUUCUGCCUUUGCAGACAUCAUCUCUAGCGACUUUUAUUUGGUGUUAUUAAAGAUGCUUUUGAUGUGAUCUUAACUGUAGUGAUUCUUCCUAUAAUCGCUUUCUCUUUAAUUAGCCUGUAUGGCCCCUUUUCUAGCUGGAAUUUCACUAUACUGCUCAGCCUUCCAUUCCAUGCUUUUUAAAAAAUAGGAAUACUAUUUGUGUAAUUGAACUAUAGUUGAUUUACGAUAUUAUGUUAGUUUCAGGUAUAUAGCAUAGUGAUUCAGUGUUUGGCAGGUUAUACUCCAUUAUAAGUUAUUACAAAAUAAUGGCUAUAAUUCUCUGCGCUAUAUAGUAUAACCUUGUUGCUUAUCUAUUUUAUAUAUAGUAGUUUGUAUCUGUUUAUACCAUACCCCUAAUUUGCCCCUCCC